CGUCUAUAUACGUAUAGCAUAUCAAUAAGCGGAGGAAAAGAAACUAACAAGGAUUCCCCUAGUAACGGCGAGUGAAGCGGGAAGAGCUCAAAUUUGAAAUCUUAAAGGGUUUCCUUUACGAAUUGUAGUUUAAAGAAGUGUUUUCUGUUGGAGUUUCGGUAAAAGUUCUUUGGAAUAGGACAUCAUAGAGGGUGAGAAUCCCGUAUUUGACCGUUACUUUCCAGCUGUGUGAUACACUUUCAAAGAGUCGGAUUGUUUGGGAAUGCAGUCCAAAAUGGGUGGUAAAUUUCAUCUAAAGCUAAAUAUUGGCGAGAGACCGAUAGCGAACAAGUACCGUGAGGGAAAGAUGAAAAGAACUUUGAAAAGAGAGUUAAACAGUACGUGAAAUUGUCAAAAGGGAAGCGUUUGACACCAGUGUUGUUUUUCCGAAAAUCAAUUACGAAUGUUUUGUUUUUAAGAAGUUAUGACUUCAUCGGCUUGCUUCUUUCUUUACGAAACUUUCUUAAUGCACUUUUCGGUUAACAAGUCAACAUCAAUUUCUUUUGUUGUAAAAGGGUAUGAGGAAGGUGGCUUUCUUUUCGGAGAAAGUGUUUAUAGCCUUGUACCUCUGCAAUCGGAGAGAUUGAGGUCUGCAGCGUAGAUCCUUCGGGGUUAGAUACAUUUGUGCUAAGUUAUAGCUUUUCAUAGACAACUUGUUGACUAUGUUUAGUCUUGUAGCUUACUCGCUUAUGCUAUUUUACCUACGCUUAGGAUGUUGAUAGUCACAGCGUGUAC
rnacentral:rRNA from 1 species